UGACAAUGAUGUCUGACCCAGCACCAUCAUUCACUAACCACGUGGCCUCUGGCCAGGCAUCUACCUUCUCAGAGACUCAGAGUUUCUCUUCCAUGAAGAGGGCUGCUGAAAUUAAGUAGCAUUUAUGGUUUUCUGAAGGGCCUAGGCCAGCGACUGACAGAGAGAGAUAUUGAACAGAGAGCUGCUGAAUGGGUGCACAUGUUCUAUGGGUAAAGGAGUCUUCAUGAAGACUGAGCCUUUCUGUAAGAGUGUACACUGGAAAAAUCCUGUGUUCCCUCAUCAUCUCCAGUCCUCAAGGAGUGUUGCAUGGUAUUUUCAGGCCUGCUCCUGCAUCCAGACUUAAACAGGGUUGGGAUCCACCAUCUCUCUGAAAGGAGCUUGGUGCACCAGGAUGACCACUUCCCUCGGUGGCUGUGGAGAGGGUGUCCAAGGGCUGGUGGCCUAGGCCUGCCACAGAAGCCUGAAAACUUGCUGGAAUAGAUCCUGGAAAGGCCAUGGAGAAUGGAUGGUGAGAGAGACACCCCACCCCUGCCCCCUAUAGGGAGAUUUCAUGGAAGGAAAUGGACUGCUUCUGACUGGUCUCUUGAGGAGUAAGAAAGUGGUGAGAGGGGCAAGCCUGACUUGACCAAGACUGGAGAAAGACACUCGCCCUUCUAAUUUUUUGGAACCUUUCUUGAAGAGGCAGGGUUUUCAGCUUCAGGCAUGGCUUGGUCCCUUCCACUUGCUUGCUCCAGGAUAUGACCUUGAGAGGAACCAACACUCCAGCUUGCACCUGGGGUUGCCUUUUUCAAGGCUUUGCAUUGACUCCCUGACUCCCUGUCCCCAAGAGCGUCCACUGAAAAGCUGUCAGAGGCAUCCAUGUGGCAGAGGAGGACUGAGGCCAAUGCCAGCUGGAAUGGUAUCACAGAACUAGAGCUUCUGAGGUUGUAGGAUUCAUGAGGCAUUGGGAAGAGACAGAGGAGGUCAUUUGAGUCUCUUUCUGAACUUCAUCUCACCUGUAUCUUUUGUUCCUUACACUCUGAUAGCAGGGACAACCUAAAAGAGGGUCUGAUGGAGGAGAGAAAGCAGGCUGAUCCUGGGCCCUUGGGUGCUGGAGGAAGAGGCCCCCUGAAGGGAGCAGGAGAAGAAAGGACAGCAGAGGAGUGCUGAAAUUCACCUUGCUGACUGCCCUGCUGACUGCCCUGGGCCACUGUUCUUGGCUUUAGGAGAUUCAAAGUCUAAGAAAGAUCCCUUUCCCCUGAUCCGCCAAAGUUUUCAUUUCCUGGAGAAAUAGCUUCUCUCUCUGCGUGUUUCCGUCAACUCUCAGCAAGACCUGAACAAGUGCAUGAAGGUGAUAAACCUGCUACUUCACUGGGGCUGUUUAUUUCCAGUCGACAAAUAUUGUGCCAAUGUUCACUUCAAUUAGGGGACACAUUUGACAAUCUGACUACUCCAUCUGAUGCCUCAAGGGCAAAUUUCAGCUCUUUCAGGAAGGGAUGGGCCAAUAACGGAUUCGUAUGAAUAAAAUAUACAGAGAAGGAACAUUCGCAGCAGUUUGGGGAAACCACCUUCUCCAGCAAGGAGAGCAAAAUGUCUACAUGAAGAUAAAAUUCACAUAAAUAAAGCAUGGGGCUUAAACUGUUGGGAUGCUGGGAAUUCAGAGUGAAGGCUCCUGUGCCUGCUUGCCCAUCACCUGCCUGGAGUUGGGAAUUAAGAAGUGCAAAUCAGCACUAAGGAGCCUAAGACAUUUGUAAUUCUAUGGAAGAAAAUCAUUGUGGCAGAGUUCAACUCGCUAAGAAUCUUACUCGUUUAUUCCAGUUUUAAAAACCAUCCUAGCAACCAGAAGUUUUUUGUGGUGUUUAAUUUUUAAUCCUUCUGUUUAAUUCCCUUUCUUCUUUAUUACCCUGAAGAUAAUCAGAAAAGCUGCUCAGCAUCCCCUUUUUACAGCUUUUCACAUCCUGGAAGGUAGAGUCAAGGACCAGGUCCCAUGAAUAGAGCUCUUCCUGCUCGGAAUUGACCUUGGGUCCAUGUUACCCUUUUCCUGGCAGCAGCAGACUAGAGGAUGAGUUAGGUCUUCUGUAGCACCUGCCUUGGGCAAGUGCCAUCAGCUCGCUGGACUCCUGUAUUCCCAUCAGGGAAAGGGAAAGUCAGUUCCUUCCUCAUCUUGGAAGGGUCUCCUGGGAAUCAAGUCAGGUGCUAAGAGGGGAAGGAAGUGAAAGUUUGAUAGAAAUGAAGGGACUCUCGUCGUUUGGUUCCUGUUUUUUGGGCUGACCUGGUCAGUACAAAGAACUCCCAGAGGCAGCUUCGUCACUGAGAUGGGAAAACAAAAGCAAAAAUUACCCUUAAGGCCAGGCUCAGUGGCCCACACCUAUAAUCCCAGAACUUUGGGAGGCCAAG
rnacentral:lncRNA from 10 species